rnacentral:rRNA from 1 species
UACAGAGGUCCCAAGCGUUGUUCGGAUUCACUGGGCGUAAAGGGUGCGUAGGUGGUGAGGAAAGUCGGCUGUGAAAUCUCCGGGCUUAGCCCGGAAAUGGCAUUGGAAACUACCUUGCUAGAGGUUUUGAGGGGGGACUGGAAUUCUCGGUGUAGCAGUGAAAUGCGUAGAUAUGUGGAGGAACACCAGUGGCGAAGGCGACUCUCUGGGCUGUAACUGACGCUGAGGCGCGAAAGCGUGGGGAGCAAACAGG